rnacentral:rRNA from 1 species
AAAUGAAUUGACGGGGGCCCGCACAAGCGGUGGAGCAUGUGGUUUAAUUCGAUGCAACGCGAAGAACCUUACCAAGGCUUGACAUCCCUGGAACCCUGCGGAAACGUGGGGGUGCCUUCGGGAGCCAGGAGACAGGUGGUGCAUGGCUGUCGUCAGCUCGUGUCGUGAGAUGUUGGGUUAAGUCCCGCAACGAGCGCAACCCUCGUCGUUAGUUGCCAACAGGUAAAGCUGGGCACCCUAGCGAGACUGCCGGUGACAAACCGGAGGAAGGUGGGGAUGACGUCAAGUCAUCAUGCCCCUUAUGCCUUGGGCUACACACGUGCUACAAUGGUCGGGACAGAGGGCAGCGAGACCGCGAGGUGGAGCGAAUCCCAGAAACCCGGCCCCAGUUCAGAUUGCAGGCUGCAACUCGCCUGCAUGAAGUAGGAAUCGCUAGUAACCGCAGAUCAGCACGCUGCGGUGAAUACGUUCCCGGGCCUUGUACACACCGCCCGU